AUUUGGCAUUACUUUAAUAAAUUGAUAGUUUAUUUCACUCUUCGAUUUUUCAAAAACACAAAAAAAGGAACAUGAAAUACUUUGACGCAACAUCGCUAGGAGAGUUAUUUGGCUCAGUAAAUAGUAACGACGAAAUACAAGCUCUAUUUUUUGUUGGUUUAUGUUGUUUGGGGGCUUGGGUGUUAUUUUCUUGGCUGAUUCAGAUACUGAGAACGAUUCUUUGGAUUUGGCCAUUAUUAUUGGUAAUCGGUCUUUUAUUAGCUGUGCCUUCGUUACGAAUUCCUCUGACACAACGAAUUAUUCCCAAGCAAGUAGAUGACUUUAUGCAAAUUAUAGACAGGAGGUAUAAUGGUUACAGGAACGAAACUUUAAGUCAAUAAUAACAAUAUUGUAUGUAGCUAUUAAAAUAGAAUCAAUAGUA